rnacentral:miRNA from 1 species
UUAACAGGAGUGGGUGGUCUUUCC